GAUGAACGCUGGCGGCGUGCCUAAUACAUGCAAGUCGAGCGAACGGACGAGAAGCUUGCUUCUCUGAUGUUAGCGGCGGACGGGUGAGUAACACGUGGAUAACCUACCUAUAAGACUGGGAUAACUUCGGGAAACCGGAGCUAAUACCGGAUAAUAUUUUGAACCGCAUGGUUCAAAAGUGAAAGACGGUCUUGCUGCCACUUAUAGAUGGAUCCGCGCUGCAUUAGCUAGUUGGUAAGGUAACGGCUUACCAAGGCAACGAUGCAUAGCCGACCUGAGAGGGUGAUCGGCCACACUGGAACUGAGACACGGUCCAGACUCCUACGGGAGGCAGCAGUAGGGAAUCUUCCGCAAUGGGCGAAAGCCUGACGGAGCAACGCCGCGUGAGUGAUGAAGGUCUUCGGAUCGUAAAACUCUGUUAUUAUGGAAGAACAUAUGUGUAAGUAACUGUGCACAUCUUGACGGUACCUAAUCAGAAAGCCACGGCUAACUACGUG
rnacentral:rRNA from 1 species